rnacentral:rRNA from 1 species
GACGAACGCUGGCGGCGUGCCUAAUACAUGCAAGUAGAACGCAGUUGCGAACGGGUGAGUAAAGCGUCGGUAACUGCCUCAUAGCGGGGGAUAACUAUUUGAAACGAUAGCUAAUCCCGCAUACUGUGAGCUUGACCUGCGUUGUAUUAGCUAGUUGGUGAGGUAAAGGCUCACCAAGGCCACGAUACAUAGCCGACCUGAGAGGGGGAUAGGCCAAAGUGGGACGGAGAAAAGGCCCAGAAGCCUAAGGGAGGCAGCAGGAGGGAAGUGGUGGCAAUGGAGGGAAGGCUGAACGAGCAAAGGCGGGGGAGGGAAGAAGGUUUGCGGAUCGGAAAGCUCGGUUGUGAGAGAAGAGGUAACUAACCAGAAAGGGACGGCUAACUCCGUGCCAGCAGCCGCGGUAAUAC